rnacentral:misc_RNA from 1 species
GAUGAAAGAACGUAGCGAAAUGCGAUAAGUAAUGUGAAUUGCAGAAUUCAGUGAAUCAUCGAAUCUUUGAACGCACAUUGCGCCCGCCAGUAUUCUGGCGGGCAUGCCUGUUCGAGCGUCAUUACAACCCUCAGGCCCCCGGGCCUGGCGUUGGGGAUCGGCGGAAGCCCCCUGUGGGCACACGCCGUCCCUCAAAUACAGUGGCGGUCCCGCCGCAGCUUCCAUUGCGUAGUAGCUAACACCUCGCAACUGGAGAGCGGCGCGGCCAUGCCGUAAAACACCCAACUUCUGAAUGUUGACCUCGAAUCAGGUAGGAAUACCCGCUGAACUUAAGCAUAUCAAUAAGCGGAGGA